GAUGAACGCUGGCGGCGUGCCUAAUACAUGCAAGUCGAGCGAACGGACGAGAAGCUUGCUUCUCUGAUGUUAGCGGCGGACGGGUGAGUAACACGUGGAUAACCUACCUAUAAGACUGGGAUAACUUCGGGAAACCGGAGCUAAUACCGGAUAAUAUUUUGAACCGCAUGGUUCAAAAGUGAAAGACGGUCUUGCUGUCACUUAUAGAUGGAUCCGCGCUGCAUUAGCUAGUUGGUAAGGUAACGGCUUACCAAGGCAACGAUGCAUAGCCGACCUGAGAGGGUGAUCGGCCACACUGGAACUGAGACACGGUCCAGACUCCUACGGGAGGCAGCAGUAGGGAAUCUUCCGCAAAGGGCGAAAGCCUGACGGAGCAACGCCGCGUGAGUGAUGAAGGUCUUCGGAUCGUAAAACUCUGUUAUUAGGGAAGAACAUAUGUGUAAGUAACUGUGCACACCUUGACGGUACCUAAUCAGAAAGCCACGGCUAACUACGUG
rnacentral:rRNA from 1 species